rnacentral:rRNA from 1 species
AGAGUUUGAUCCUGGCUCAGGAUGAACGCUAGCGGCGGGCUUAAUACAUGCAAGUCAAGGGGUAGCAAUACACCGGCGUACGGGUGCGUAACGCGUAUGGAACCUGCCCUUAUCUGGGGGAUAACUCGGGGAAACUCGAGCUAAUACCGCAUAAGAUAGUAGAAUGGCAUCAUUCAGCUAUUAAAGAUUUAUUGGAUAAGGAUGGCCAUGCGUAAGAUUAGAUAGUUGGCGAGGUAACGGCUCACCAAGUCUACGAUCUUUAGGGGCUCUGAGAGGAGAAUCCCCCACACUGGCACUGAGAUACGGGCCAGACUCCUACGGGAGGCAGCAGUAGGGAAUAUUGGGCAAUGGGCGGAAGCCUGACCCAGCCACGCCGCGUGCAGGAAGACGGCCCUCUGGGUUGUAAACUGCUUUUAACUGGGAAGAAAAGAGGCCUUGCGAGGCAAGUUGACGGUACCAGUUGAAUAAGCCACGGCUAACUACGUGCCAGCAGCCGCGGUAAUACGUAGGUGGCGAGCGUUA